CAUUGGAUACUGAAAUCUAAUGGUAGCAAUAGCAUUGAACUCUCUCUCUCUCUCCCUCUCCCUCUCCCUCUCCCUCUCCCUCUCCGACCAAACACAGAGCACGCCAAACAAUGCAAUUAUGCUCCACUAGAGUCUGGUCCCACCACGUACGUACAAGUGAACAAAAACAUAUUCGAAGCAUCCAAAAAAAGCAACUGUAGUAACUCACUACCCCUCUUCCACUGCACAACACGCUCACUCCAUGGCAAUGGCAAUAUACUGAUACGGCCAUACUUACACACAAACUGAUCUCCUAGGACUCCAUUUCUCCAAACUCAAUACAAGUUACAACCACAUCCGUCUUCUCUACGACUCCCCAUCUCUGCACCCUUAUAGCCCUCGGCCCCUCUUCUCGGCCUCUCUCUUCCACACACGUACACGGGGACGCACGCAACAAUGCCGCCCCUUUCCCUACUCUCCCUCCACCUCCUCCUCCUCUUCUUCAGCUUCAUAAACUUUUGUCACUCCAGAAACACCACUACUGCUGAAUACUUGAAGCUACCGUUGCUUCGCAAGAACCCAUUGCCAUCCCCAACCGAGCUUCUCUCCUCCGACGCGCACCGCCUCUCGCUCCUCCACCAUCGGGGAACCCUCAAGUCCCCAGUAGUCUCCGGUGCCCCCUCAGGCUCCGGCCAGUAUUUCGUCUCCCUACGCCUUGGUACCCCGCCCCAAACCAUCCUCCUCGUCGCAGACACCGGCAGCGAUCUCAUCUGGGUCAAGUGCUCUGCCUGCAGUUCCAACUGUUCAUCUGCUGCUACCACCUCUGCUUUCAUCGCCCGCCACUCCUCCACAUUCUCCCCUCACCACUGCUUCGACUCGCAAUGUCGACUCGUUCCCCACCCGUCUAACUCCCACUGUAAGAAGCGCCCCCUCCACACCCCUUGCCGCUACGAGUACACCUACUCCGACGGCUCCGUUACAACCGGCUUCUUCUCUAAAGAAACAGCCACAUUGCGCACCAGUUUCGGGAGAGAGGCCAGACUGAAGAGCCUCGCCUUCGGGUGCGGGUUCCGGUUAUCGGGUCCGAGUGUUACUGGCGCCAGCUUCAAUGGAGCUCAAGGGGUCAUGGGUCUGGGCAAAGGACCCAUUUCUUUCUCCUCCCAACUGGGCCACCGAUUUGGUAACAAGUUCUCGUACUGUCUCCUGGACUACACCAUAUCACCUCCUCCGACGAGCUUUUUGACCAUCGGAAACAUCGUUCCUCGGACCUCUGAAAUGAGCUUUACUCCCUUGCAGACGAACCCUCUAUCUCCCUCCUUUUACUACAUUGGGGUCCAGAGCAUCUCUGUGAACGGUGCCAAGUUAAACAUCAACCCCUCCGUAUGGUCCAUUGACGAGCUGGGUAACGGUGGCACGGUCAUAGACUCCGGUACCACACUGACCUUCCUGGCUGAACCGGCUUACCGUCAAGUUAUAGCUGCUGUGAAACGGCGGGUUAGGAGGCUACCGAGUCCUGCUAUCAUGCCCACACUUGGAUUCGAUCUCUGCGUGAACGUGUCGGGCGUGCCGAGACCGAGUCUGCCUAAAAUGAGUUUCAAACUGGUAGGGAACUCGGUGUUGUCGCCGCCUCCAAGGAACUACUUCAUAGAAGCGGUGGACCGAGUCAUGUGUCUGGCGAUUCAACCCGUUAGUUCGGAAACCGGAUUCUCGGUGAUAGGGAAUCUGAUGCAACAGGGGUUUUUGUUCGAGUUUGACAGAGACAGAUCGCGGCUCGGUUUUUCACGUCAUGGCUGCGCCUUACGGUGACUGAGCCGAUCGAGGACUCGGGGGACAGAAAGCAAAUUAUGCAGGACUGCAUGGGAUGAACUCCCCCCCAUAAAUGGAACUAAUCAAGCCGUUCUGUAGAAUUAAAAGAGAUCACUUAAAUCAUCAGUCUCCGGCCCCUUACAUGAUUGGCAGACUUAUCGGGUCGAAGCUGCUUCCAGCUGGUACCGGUACCUCCUCAAAGACAUCUCUAACAUUUAUUUGCAUUUAUAUGUUUGCUUUGAUCAUUCCAACCAUAAAUGCAGAACGCAAGUGUACCCAUCCUUUCUUUUAC